GUUUAGGUAACUUAAAUCCUUGGACUUAGAGUAUAUUGUAUUAGUUAAACAAAAAUACCUAGAUCAUCACUUAGUAAGAGAAUGCUGAAACAUUGUCACUCAGCAUAAUUUAAACUGUGUACUCCUUUCAUCCUUCCUUCUCUCACAGCCUGCAGCAUCUUAGUUCCCGGAGCAGGGACUGAACCCCGGCGCCAGCAGAGAAAGAGCUGUGUCUUAACCUCUGGACUGAGAGGGAGUUGCCUAGAUCUUACAUCCUCUUGCUUCUCACUUCUCUUUGCUGCAGAGGGCUGUGUCUUUGUGUCUGUAGUGAGUGUGCUCAUACGCGCUCAUCUCUCAUGCUGAGCUGUGCUGUGCGUCCUCGUGGGCUCUGCUCGUCUGCGGCAGCUGGUGUGCCUCAGACAGUGCACGGUUGUCCCCCUGCUAUCUCUGAACUGAAGUUAGUUGCUUUGGGAAAAGUUAUCAUUAAUAUGUAGUUUAGACCAAGUUGGAGAAACUCAUCUGGGUACAUAGAUCUAUUUUUCAAGGAAAACAGUAGUUUUAUCCUAAAGAAGUAUUUGGGUUUUUUUUAGUCUCCAUCCCCUUUCUGCACUCUUCAAGCUUAUUGAGGACCCCAAAACCUUUCUCUGUGCUUGUAACUACUGACAUUUCAUGUUUUGGAAAUUGAAAAAACAUUGAAAUGCUUACUCAUUGAUUCAUUUGACAAUAGCAGCAGUGAAUGCACUGUGCAUUAAUGAUAUCUUAGUGAUGUUAUGAAAUUAGUUCUGACCAUGUGAACACCCAGUGUUGUGGUCUGAAAAUCCACCCCCUAAAAUACAUAUGUUGAAAUCCUGUCUUCUAGAGAUGAUGGUGUUAGCAGGUAGGGCUUUUGGGAGGAGGUUAACUUAUGAAAAGGAUUAGUGCUCUUAUAAAAUGGACUCCAGGGACUUCCCUCUUGGUUCAGGGGCUAAGACUCUGCAUUCCCAGUGCAGGGGACCUGGGUAAGAUGCCUGGUCAUAGAACUGGAUCCUGCAUGCUGCAACUAAAGAUCCUGUGUGCUGCAAUUAAGACCCAGUGGGAUCAAAUAAAUAAAUAUUUGUUUGAAAAAUGAGGCUCAAGGGAUACCCCCUUCAUUUAUGUACAUGAAUAAGGAGAAGCCUGCCGCCUGGAAAAAGGUCCUCAUCCCACCACACUGGCACUUAAAUCUUGGAUUUCCAGCCUCUAGAACUGUGAGAAAUACAUUCCUGUUGUUUAUAAGAGAUGUAGUCUGUGGUAUUUUGUUAUAGCAGCCUGAAUGGCCUAGGACACCUUGAGAUCAGUCUAGAGUAUAGUGCCCGUUUGUCCCAGAAUAUCAGAGUUCAAUGAAAGAAAGUUUGGAAAUGAAUUUUGUUUGCCUUGAUUUAUAAUACCAGAAUCUGAAAAGUUAAAAUUUUAGCUUUGCUCAAUUUCAUGGGCUUGUUUCCUUGGUUUACUGUUGAUUACCUUCACCUAAAACUUAAGGAUCACUUAUUCUAUUAUUUCUAAACAACAAAAAUUCUGUAUCUUACCAGAAUAGCCUUCUUUAGUUUGUAUUGAUUUAUCAUGUCUUUGAUUAAUUAGAAGCCAAAGUUCCUCAUUUAAGAAUGGGUUAAGAUUCUUUGCAGGUCUUCCCAGGUGGCUCAGUGGUGAAGAAUUCACCUGCCAAGGCAGGAGACACAAGAGAUGCAGAUUAUAUCCCUGGGUCAGAAGGACCCCCUGGAUGGGAGCAUGGCAACCCUCUCCAGUAUUCUUGUCUGGAAAAUCCCAUGGACAGAGGAAUCUGGCGGUCUGUACAGUACAUGGGGUCACAAAGUGUUGAGACACGACUUAGCAACUGAGCAUGAGGGGCUGGAAUGCAAAAGUAAGAAGUCAAGAAACACCUGGAGUAACAGGCAAAUUUGGCCUUGGAAUAUGGAAUAAAGCAGGGCAAAGACUAAUAUAGUUUUGCCAAGAAAAUGCACUGGUCAUAACAAACACCCUCUUCCAACAACACAAGAGAAGACUCUAUACAUGGACAUCACCAGAUGGUCAACACCGAAAUCAGAUUGAUUAUAUUCUGUGCAGCCAAAGAUGGAGAAGCUCUAUACAGUCAGCAAAAACAAGACCAGGAGCUGACUGUGGCUCAGACCAUGAAAUCCUUAUUGCCAAAUUCAGACUAAAAUUGAAGAAAGUAGGGAAAACCACUAGAUCAUUCAGGUAUGACCUAAAUCAAAUCCCUUAUGAUUAUACAGUGGAAGUGAGAAAUAGAUUUAAGGGCCUAGAUCUGAUAGAUAGAGUGCCUGAUGAACUAUGGAAUGAGGUUCAUGACAUUGUACAGGAGACAGGGAUCAAGACCAUUCCCAUAGAAAAGAAAUGCAAAAAAAGCAAAAUGGCUGUCUGGGGAGGGCUUACAAAUAGCUGUGAAAAGAAGAGAAGCGAAAAGCAAAGGAGAAAAGGAAAGAUAUAAACAUCUGAAUGCAGAGUUCCAAAGAAUAGCAAGAAGAGAUAAGAAAGCCUUCUUUAGCGAUCAAUGCAAAGAAAUAGAGGAAAACAACAGAAUGGGAAAGACUAGAGAUCUCUUCAAGAAAAUUAGAGAUACCAAGGGAACAUUUCAUGCAAAGAUGGGCUCGAUAAAGGACAGAAAUGUUAUGGACUAACAAGCAGAAGAUAGUAAGAAGAGGUGGCAAGAAUACACAGAAGAACUGUACAAAAAAGAUCUUCACGACCCAGAUAAGCAUGAUGGUGUAAUCACUCAUCUAGAGCCAGACAUCCUGGAAUGUGAAGUCAAGUGGGCCUUAGAAAGCAUCACUACGAACAAAGCUAGUGGAGGUGAUGGAAUUCCAGUGGAGCUAUUUCAAAUCCUGAAAGAUGAUGCUGUGAAAAUGCUGCACUCAAUAUGCCAGCAAAUUUGGAAAACUCAGCAGUGGCCACAGGACUGGAAAAGGUCAGUUUUCAUUCCAAUCCCAAAGAAAGGCAAUGCCAAAGAAUGCUCAAACUACCGCACAAUUGCACUCAUCUCACAUGCUAGUAAAGUAAUGCUCAAAAUUCUCCAAGCCAGGCUUCAGCAAUAUGUGAGCCAUGAACUUCCAGAUGUUCAAGCUGGUUUUAGAAAAGGCAAAGGAACCAGAGAUCAAAUUGCCAACAUCCGCUGGAUCAUGGAAAAAGCAAG
ensembl:lncRNA